GACGAACGCUGGCGGCGUGCUUAACACAUGCAAGUCGAGCGGAAAGGCCCUGCUUUUGUGGGGUGCUCGAGUGGCGAACGGGUGAGUAACACGUGAGUAACCUGCCCUUGACUUUGGGAUAACUUCAGGAAACUGGGGCUAAUACCGGAUAGGAGCUCCUGCUGCAUGGUGGGGGUUGGAAAGUUUCGGCGGUUGGGGAUGGACUCGCGGCUUAUCAGCUUGUUGGGGUGGUAGUGGCUUACCAAGGCUUUGACGGGUAGCCGGCCUGAGAGGGUGACCGGCGACAUGGGGACUGAGAGACGGCCCAGACGGGUACGGGAGGCAGCAGGGGGAAAUAUGGCACAAUGGGGGGGAGCCUGAGGCAACAACGCCGCGAGCGGGAUGACGGGCUUCGGGUUGUGAACAGCUUUGGCCUGUGACGAAGCGUGAGUGACGGUAAUGGGUAAAAAAGCACCGGCUAACUACGUG
rnacentral:rRNA from 1 species